AACGAACGCUGGCGGCAUGCCUAACACAUGCAAGUCGAACGAUUGCCUUCGGGUGAUAGUGGCGCACGGGUGCGUAACGCGUGGGAAUCUGCCCUUAGGUUCGGAAUAACAGCUGGAAACGGCUGCUAAUACCGGAUGAUAUCGCGAGAUCAAAGAUUUAUCGCCUGAGGAUGGGCCCGCGUUGGAUUAGGUAGUUGGUGGGGUAAAGGCCUACCAAGCCGACGAUCCAUAGCUGGUCUGAGAGGAUGAUCAGCCACACUGGGACUGAGACACGGCCCAGACUCCUACGGGAGGGAGCAGUGGGGAAUAUUGGACAAUGGGCGCAAGCCUGAUCCAGCAAUGCCGCGUGAGUGAUGAAGGCCCUAGGGUUGUAAAGCUCUUUUACCCGGGAAGAUAAUGACUGUACCGGGAGAAUAAGCCCCGGCUAACUCCGUG
rnacentral:rRNA from 1 species